rnacentral:rRNA from 1 species
UACGAAGGGGGCUAGCGUUGCUCGGAAUUACUGGGCGUAAAGGGCGCGUAGGCGGAUGUUUAAGUCAGAGGUGAACGCCCAGGGCUCAACCUUGGAACUGCCUUUGAUACUGGGCAUCUUGAGUAUGGGAGAGGUGAGUGGAACUCCGAGUGUAGAGGUGAAAUUCGUAGAUAUUCGGAGGAACACCAGUGGCGAAGGCGACUCACUGGCCCAUUACUGACGCUGAGGCGCGAAAGCGUGGGGAGCAAACAGG